UUUUUAUGGAAUAUUGUAAUGAAAUAACUUGAAUUUAACCAAUUUCAUGGUUUCUAAAGUUUUGGGGGAGCAGUUACCCCCAUCCCCACCCACCGUCUCGUACUGCUAUGCCCACACACGACAUGCUAAAGCUGCUUCGUGCGUCCUGUACGGACAGGCAGACCGUGUAAAGUUGGGUCUCUGAUGGCUCUCCGUAAAACCAAGGAAACGGGGAAUUGACGAAUGGAAUGAGGUACGAAGACAAGCCAGAAUCUGUAAAAAUCCUGGAAUGAGAAAAGCUGGACUCGGUUAAACCCCGAAUAUGCAUGUAUAUUUUGUGUACGGUUCAAGGCAAAAGCAGAACAGCUGAACAGGCGCUCUGGAAUGUUUGAAAAGUCGUUGAAUAUAACUUCUGAGAAACGAAGCAUGUACACAGGUUAGUGUACGUAAUAGAUGAAUAGUUCUAAUUUCAAGAAUCACUAAAGCAAAACCAAUGUUGAAGCCAGUGUAAUAUACUAGUUAGAGGCAGAGCUUCUGAAAACUUGAAAAUACACUUCCCCUGCUUAGUUAAAUCCCUCUGCUUUUCCAUUGUUAAUUUGGUGGUUAAACAUUAUAAGAUAAGGAUAAUAUGGAGAUGCAAAUUAGUUUGCACAUUUUAUGGGGUUUUUUAAUGUUAUAUUGCGGAAUUGAAUAUUUGCUUACACAGAAGCCAAACAAUCAUUAUGGCUUCCACAAUAUGAAAGUAUAAAAAAUGUGCACAUUUUAUAAGAUCUGCAUGUGUACGUGUUGUCCUUAGCUUACUUUACAAUAUUUUACAACCGAACUGUGCAAUUUUACUAAUAUAAUAGAUGGACUCUUUUCACUUUUGGUGUUGGAUUUUCGUUUCUUUGCCCAAAUAAAACUUCGAUAGAACCGUAAAAUGGUUUAUUAAACGUUGCCUUUACAAGUUAAUACGUACGAAUAGCUUAAUCAUUGUACUCCGGCUUCACCGUGCUGAUUUUACUAAUGAUAUGUGUUUCCUUCAUUUAAUACUUGAGCCAAACAUCAAUUUCUAUGCUAUAUAGUAAAUAUUGUUACAAAUAAGUACAAAACAUCUA